AUAUGUUCUGGGACGGAAGG
rnacentral:tRNA from 1 species